GAGAGGCGUCUGGUUGGAUUUCAACUAGCUGGUUGGAGAGCUUCAGGGGUAAAAUGGGAUAGCUGUUGGUUCUUCGAUGUCUACAUCUGGAGGCUUCGACUGUUUUACACAGCCAUACUUCACCGACUUCAGUUUUGGCUUCCAUUCUUCACCUAACCAUUGCUUCACUUCCUUCAUCCCCCUCUACAGCAGCUCCGGUUCCAUCUUCCUCCAACCACCAACCACCGGCUACGGCGACCACUCCUCCUCCUUUCUCUCUCUCCCUUGCUCGCGCUCUCGCCUUUUCUCUCUCAAACACCCACAGAUAGUGUUUUUGAAAUUCUUAUUUCUCUGUUCUAUUCUUGGUUGUUAUUUGAUAAAUUUGAUUGGGUUUUUUUUCCCUGGAUAUUUGAGGUAAAAUAGAAUUCGAAACCUGAUCAAUUUCUUCUGGGUUUUGCAGUGCUCUGCCUCAGUUUGUUUGCUUUGGCUGUUUUCCGUUCCGGGUUGAGGUGAUUUUAUCAUUAAGAUGCCAAUGUUGACUGCUCCAAGUACAAUUGUUAGCUCGCCUCUAUUGCCAGCAGGUGCUCACUUUCCGACUCACUUGGGUUCUAUCAGGAAGAGGAUUGAAUCUCACAGAUUAGCUCAGCUGCACCCAGAAAACUGUCUGAGAAGAUAAUCUGCAGAGCAGGGGACUUGCGAUCUACUGAGGUUAGGUGGUCUUUUGUUGCUUUGGAUAGAGCAGUUUGGUUGGUGUUUUCGGUUAUGUUAAGCAGGAGGUGCUGUAUAACUGUUUUUUAGACUGUUUGGUAGCUCUUCCCAUUGCUGCUAGACAACAGAACAUUUGGUAUUGGUCUACACUGUCUCUGAAAGCAACCAGCAAGGGAAAUCAUAAAAAGUUUCUCUCUCUUCUAUAUCUGGCAGUGAGUACGUGCAAGAAUAUAAAUGAAGGUCAAGCACUUGAGCUCCCUUUGUAAUUGCAAAACGAAUCCAUUCGUCAAGGAUAGUGGUGGAUUCUCUGUUAAAAAAGAAUUCCACUUUGAACGAGUCUACCUUGUUGCCAUGGUGGAGCUGCAAAACUUUGUUCACGCAUCUUACAAAGACUUGUUUUGAGAAGUCCUCAG